rnacentral:rRNA from 1 species
GACGAACCGAGCGAACGUUGUUCGGAAUCACUGGGCUUAAAGGGCGCGUAGGCGGGUGCUCAAGUCCGUGGUGAAAUCCUCCGGCUCAACCGGAGAACUGCCUCGGAUACUGGGCGUCUCGAGUGUGGUAGGGGUAUGCGGAACUAUCGGUGGAGCGGUGAAAUGCGUAGAUAUCAGGAGGAAUACCGGCGGUGUAGACGGCUUGCUAGACCAUAACUGACGCUGAGGCACGAAAGCGUGGGUAGCAAACAGG